AGCUAGGUAAGGUAGAUAGCUAGAGUGUGGACAAGGGAGUUCCAGGCAUUAUCUCAAAGAAUCAGCCUGCCUGCCUCUGCCUUAGAAAUAAAUCCUGAUGCAAUGGUGCUUUUUCUUUCUUUUCCAUUUGACGUUUGAUAUAUGGAAUGGAGCUGAACCAAUUGACGAUGUUGAAUAUAUAUUGGAUGAUGGAGAGCGAU
rnacentral:lncRNA from 1 species